rnacentral:tRNA from 1 species
AGUCAAGCAGUUUUAGAGAAUGUAAACUUUGGGUGUUUGAGGAUCUAUUAAAAGAAUUAUUAGACUUGCUGA